rnacentral:rRNA from 1 species
UACGUAGGGUGCGAGCGUUAAUCGGAAUUACUGGGCGUAAGGCGUGCGCAGGCGGUUUGCUAAGACCGAUGUGAAAUCCCCGGGCUCAACCUGGGAACUGCAUUGGUGACUGGCAGGCUAGAGUAUGGCAGAGGGGGGUAGAAUUCCACGUGUAUCAGUGAAAUGCGUAGAGAUGUGGAGGAAUACCGAUGGCGAAGGCAGACCCCUGGGCCAAUACUGACGCUCAUGCACGAAAGCGUGGGGAGCAAACAGG